UUGUUGGAGAGUUUGAUCCUGGCUCAGGACGAACGCUGGCGGUGCGCCUUAUGCAUGCAAGUUGAGCGAAGCUUUUCAGUAGUUUACUACAGAAAAUGACUGAGCGGCGAACGGGUGAGUAACGCGUGAGCAAUCUACCUUAGUUACUGGGAUAGCCCGAGGAAACUCGGAUUAAUACCGGAUAUUCUUAUUUUUUCACAUGAAGUUUUAAGGAAAGGUCAGCCGAACUAAGAUGAGCUCGCGUUCUAUCAGCUAGUUGGUGGGGUAAAAGCCUA
rnacentral:rRNA from 1 species